rnacentral:rRNA from 1 species
AUAUUGCACAAUGGGGGAAACCCUGAUGCAGCGAUGCCGCGUGGAGGAAGAAGGUUUUCGGANUGUAAACUCCUUUUAUCAGGGANNAUNNNGNCGGUACCUGAAGAAAAAGCUCCGGCUAACUACGUGCNNNCAGCCGCGGUAAUACGUAGGGAGCGAGCGUUGUCCGGAAUUACUGGGUGUAAAGGGAGCGUAGGCGGGACGGCAAGUCAGAUGUGAAAACUGAGGGCUCAACCUUCAGACUGCAUUUGAAACUGCUGUUCUUGAGUGAAGUAGAGGUAAGCGGAAUUCCUAGUGUAGCGGUGAAAUGCGUAGAUAUUAGGAGGAACAUCGGUGGCGAAGGCGGCUUACUGGGCUUUUACUGACGCUGAGGCUCGAAAGCGUGGGGAGCAAAC